rnacentral:lncRNA from 1 species
UGCAAGGAAAAAAAGCCAGUUGAUAUUUUGAUAGGUAUUGCAUUUAAUCUGUAAAUCAAUUUGAGGAUUAUUGCCUUCUUAAAAAUCAUAAAUCAACAUGAGAUCUUUCCAUUUAUUUAGGUUCUCUUUAGUUUCUUUCAACAAUAUCUUACAGUUAAUGGACUGUCUUUUGCAUCCUGGGGUAGAGGCUACCUGCUUUGAUCAUCUCUGGUUCAGGGAUUUAGGCACAUUCAUGAGGCUAAUUCUAUUACUUGCUGUACAAUAUUUUCUUUAGCCACCCUUUACUUGACAGCAACUAAGAUGGCUCUCAGUGUGACUCUUGGCAGGUAGGAGGAUGAGCUGGACCUUCUGCUGAGUGUGCUAUAUUUCUUAUCCAUCACUACUGAUGAUGAUGAUGAUUAGAUGAGUACUAUGCUAAGUGUUUGUUUUUGUUUUUUUAAUCCAUGAUCUCAUUUUAUCUUCAAAACAUCCCAGUGAGGUAGGAAUGAUUACCUCUGUUUUGCAGAUGGAAAAAUUGAGCUUCAGGGAAGCACACAUCUAAAAAAGGAGCAGAGCAUGUAGUUGAACCAGGUAUCUUGACAUCCAACUCUGGCCACUUCCAGGCCACCCCAGUAUGCCAUCUCCCAGGAUGUUCUAUAGACCAAGCCAGAG